rnacentral:rRNA from 1 species
GACGAACGCUGGCGGCGUGCUUAACACAUGCAAGUCGAACGGAAAGGCCCUGCUUUUGUGGGGUGCUCGAGUGGCGAACGGGUGAGUAACACGUGAGUAACCUGCCCUUGACUUUGGGAUAACUUCAGGAAACUGGGGCUAAUACCGGAUAGGAGCUCCUGCUGCAUGGUGGGGGUUGGAAAGUUUCGGCGGUUGGGGAUGGACUCGCGGCUUAUCAGCUUGUUGGUGGGGUAGUGGCUUACCAAGGCUUUGACGGGUAGCCGGCCUGAGAGGGUGACCGGCCACAUUGGGACUGAGAUACGGCCCAGACUCCUACGGGAGGCAGCAGUGGGGAUUAUUGCACAAGGGGCGGAAGCCUGAUGCAGCAAGGCCGCGUGCGGGAUGACGGCCUUCGGGUUGUAACCCGCUUUCGCCUGUGACGAAGCGUGAGUGACGGUAAUGGGUAAAGAAGCACCGGCUAACUACGUG